CUUUAUCUUGGCGUCGCAACUUGGGUUGGGGGAUAUUUUCAUGUAUGGUUGGCAAUUUGGACAACCCAUUACAGCCCAAUAAUGUGAAGCAAUUGCCGUUAAACGUCUUACCGCAGGCGACAUACUCCCGCGAGCUUUGCGAAUUUUGACUCUGUACGCCAAUGCGGAACCAUUGGGUUACAUUUCUCGGCUGCAACAUUUUAUUACCCCGGCAACAAAGUAUGGACAGUUCACGCAUAUUUACUGGUUUGGUAGUAAUGUCGCCUGGCUAAGUCGCUCCCUGUUUGAAUAAAAAGUGGCCACCGCGAAUGUCAUGUAUCUGUUCGCGUGGUGGCAGUAGAUGCAACGCAUAAAUUGUAUUGAGACUUUCGUAGAGUGCUGCUGUGGUGUCGCGACAAUGGCCAGCACAUGCGACGAGGAAAAGAUCUCCAAUGCAGAACAAAAGAAGAAAAUGCACACCUGCAGUGCUUGUUCAAAACAAUACAAGAAGCAAAGACAUUUACGACUUCAUUUUGCUAGAAAACACACAAAUAAAGAUGACUGGAGCCAUAAAUGCACUGAGUGUGGUAAAGUUUUCGCAGAUCAGGAAAUUUUGCAGCGUCACAAGCUGUCACAUGAUAAGACAUACAAAGCAGUUUGCCAAAUUGGUGAUUGUAGGAAAGAGUACAAGAGCACAUCUGCACUAAGCAAGCAUCGCCAACAGGCCCAUGGCAUCAACAAACCUCCAAAAGAAAAUAGAAAAAAGUAUUGUUGCGAGGUUUCUGACUGUGAUGCAAAUUUUUCCAAGCACCAUCUUUUAAAACAGCAUUCCUAUCAGCACACUGCUGUCCCACCUUUUCCAUGCAGCAAGUGUGACAAGCGGUUUCUUACAUUAUCACAUAAAGUGAGGCAUGAAAAGAUACACAAUGGAUAUUCAUGUAAGAUGUGUUCAAUAAACUGCAGUACUUGGUCCUUACUUCGAAGACAUAUUGCUACAGAACACAAAGAGGUCAACAAGUGUGACGAAUGUGGGUUAAGUUUUAAACAGCCAUCACAACUAAAGCAGCACCUGCAAGUCCACAGUGAAAAGCGGCAAGUUUUUAAAUGCACAAAGUGUGAGAAAACAUAUGUAAACAAAUACAAUUUUAAAAUGCAUUUUAAGAUAGUGCAUCUCAAUGAAAAGAAGUUCCAAUGUACCCAUACUGGUUGUAACAAAAUAUUUGCCUAUAAAAAGAGUUUGAAAACCCAUGAACUAAUUCAUCAAGAAGACUACGUUCCAUUGCCAAAGAAAACAAGAUGUGACAAAUUAAGUUGCUUAUCUAGAAUCACUGGUUUCAAUCAUGAAAAAGCUUUGUUACCUGAAGUUGCUUAACUGAUCAUAAAAUUUGCUUAUUGCUUAAUGUUGGCUGUUAGCUACCUGUUCCUUUCAUGCAAUACCUUGUUUGUUUUUUUCUUUUCAACUAUGGUGCACAUGCAUAUAUUCGUAAGUGGCAAGAUUUAGUUCAAUUGCAGCAAUGUUCUAUAUGUGUCAUUCUCCCAACAGAUUUAAUAGUUAUCUUGUUGGAUAAGGUUGCUAACUGUACUGUUGCAUAAAUAAGAAACCCUACUGCCACAUUCAUUAUGACAACUGCUCACCGAGCCACCUUCGCACCUGCUAAAGCCGGUGCUUCAAGAGGUGAAAGUGAUUUAGGGAAAUUAUCAAAACAAUAUUCAAGUCGGGAUCUACCAAGUCACAAAACACUUAAGUACAGACAACCUGGCCAGAAUGCUCCAGAAGACAUCAGAGGAAGAGAUCUUCGUCAUGAGUUAGCUGAGAGGGAGCAUUCAUCAAGAUCAGAUAAGAGGUCUGAUAGCAGGUCAUCACGAGACUCCAAACGACAAAGAUUAGAUCAUGUUCCCGCAUCCAAUUUAGAUGCCGAUGAUGCUGCGCGCAGUGUAUGUGGGACAGAUUUUAUAUAUUUAAGUUGCUAUGUAAUGUAUUGUAGGAUUGUUGCAGCUUAUGCUUAAAAGUUUCAUAAUUUUAGGACAGCGACUCAGAUUCUGAUGACUCCGAAGAUGACACAGCAGAAUUAAUGGCUGAGCUUAACCGAAU